rnacentral:rRNA from 1 species
UUGGCCGGGCGACGGUUGUCCCGGUUUAAGCGUGUAGGUGUGUGUUCCAGGUAAAUCCGGUUCACUUUAACACUGAGGCGUGACGACGAGGCACUACGGUGCUGAAGCAACAAAUGCCCUGCUUCCAGGAAAAGCCUCUAAGCAUCAGGUAACAUCAAAUCGUACCCCAAACCGACACAGGUGGUCAGGUAGAGAAUACCAAGGCGCUUGAGAGAACUCGGGUGAAGGAACUAGGCAAAAUGGUGCCGUAACUUCGGGAGAAGGCACGCUGACACGUAGGUGAAGUGAUUUACUCAUGGAGCUGAAGUCAGUCGAAGAUACCAGCUGGCUGCAACUGUUUAUUAAAAACACAGCACUGUGCAAACACGAAAGUGGACGUAUACGGUGUGACGCCUGCCCGGUGCCGGAAGGUUAA